CAUGUCCUUUUGAUUUUAAUUUAAGGUUUAAUCUGCUCAAUGAUUAUUUAAAUUGCCGCAGUAUUUUGACUGUGCAAAGGUAGCAUAAUAAUUAGUUUCUUAAUUAGGAGCUGGGAUGAAUGAUUGGACGAAAAAAUUACUGUCUCUUUUUAAUUUAUUAUUGAAUUUUAUUUUUAAGUUAAAAAGCUUAAAUUUUUAUAAAAGACGAGAAGACCCUAUAGAGUUUAAUAUUUAAAUUAUAUUAAUUUUUAGUAAGUUAUUUAUUUGUUUAAGUAUUUAGUUGGGGUGACUUGAAGAUUAAAUUAAUUCUUUAAUAUAUGAGUUAUUGAUAAAUAAUUUGAAAAUCUAUAUUUUUAAGUUUAAUAUAAAUUACCUUAGGGAUAACAGCGUGAUUUUUCUUUAAAGUUCUUAUUGAAAGAAAAUUUUGCGACCUCGAUGUUGGAUUAAAAUUAAUUUUUGGGGCAGUUGCUUUAGGAUUAGGUCUGUUCGACCUUUGAAAUUUUACAUGAUCUGAGUUUAGACCGGUGUGAGCCAGGUCGGAUUCUAUCUUUAAUUUUAUAGUAUAUUUUAGUACGAAAGGACCAAAUAUAUAUUAGAUAUUAAUUG
rnacentral:rRNA from 2 species